ensembl:lncRNA
GGGACACAGCCAUGCUCCACCCAGGACCAUGAGAUGUGCAGAUCACCCCUAGACGUCUUUGAAGGUGUUUCUGGAUGACAUCAGUAUUUGAAAAUGUGGGCUCAGUAAAGUAGAUGGCCCUCCUCAAGGGGACUGGAAUACAAAAGUAGGAAGUCAAGAAACACCUGGAGUAACAGGCAAUUUGGCCUUGGAGUACAAAAUGAAGCAGGGUAAAGGCUAAUAGAGUUUUGCCAAGAUAAUACACUGGUCAUAGCAAACACAACACAAGAGAAGACUUUACACAUGGACACCACCAGAUGGCCAAUACCAAAAUCAGAUUGAUUAUAUUCUUUACAGCCAAAGAUGGAGAAACUCUAUACAGACAGCAAAAACAAGACUGGGAGCUGACUGUGGCUCAGAUCAUGAACUCCUUAUUGCCAAAUUCAGACUUAAAUUGAAGAAAGUAGGGAAAACCAUUCAGGUAUGACCUAAAUCAAAUCCCCUAUGAUUAUACAGUGGAAGUGACAAACAGAUUCAAGGUAUUAGAUCUGAUAGAGAGCCUGAAGAACUAUAGACAGAGGCUCAUGACAUUGUACAGGAGGCAGUGAUCAAGACCAUCC